rnacentral:tRNA from 1 species
GUACCGGUGACAAGCUGGAGGCGUUGCUGCGGAUGCUGGAGCCGUUCGGCAUCAAGGAGAUGGUGCAGUCCGGGCUGGUCGCGAUCGGCCGCGGUGCCC